rnacentral:rRNA from 1 species
GACGAACGCUGGCGGCGUGCUUAACACAUGCAAGUCGAACGGAAAGGCCCCUUUGUUGGUACUCGAGUGGCGAACGGGUGCGUAACACGUAAGUAACCUUCCCUUGACUUCGGGAUAACUUCAGGAAACUGGGGCUAAUACUGGAUAGGAAUCCUUGCUUCAUGGUGGUGGUUGGAAAGCUUCGGCGGGUUUGGCUGGACUCGCUGGGUAUCAGCUUGUUGGUUGGGUAGUGUCUUACCAAGGCGUUGUCGCGUAGCCAGCCUGAGAGGGCGACCGGCCACAUAGGGACCUAGAGACGGCCCAGACUCCGACGGGAGGGAGAAGGGGGGAAGACUGAACAAUGGGCGGAAGCCGGAUGCAGAAAGGCCGCGGGCGGGAGGACGGUCUUCGGGGUGAAAACCGCAUUCAGAAGGAGCGAAGCUUGUGGUGACGGUACCUGCAGAAGAAGCACCGGCUAACUACGUG